rnacentral:rRNA from 1 species
GACGAACCGUGCAAACGUUGUUCGGAAUCACUGGGCUUAAAGGGCGCGUAGGCGGCACGUUAAGUCUGUGGUGAAAUCUUUCGGCUUAACCGGAAAAUGGCCAUGGAUACUGGCGUGCUCGAGGGAGGUAGGGGUCACGGGAACUUCCAGUGGAGCGGUGAAAUGCGUUGAUAUUGGAAGGAACGCCGGUGGCGAAAGCGCGUGGCUGGAUCUCUUCUGACGCUGAGGCGCGAAAGCUAGGGUAGCGAACGGG